AUGCAUUGGAUCUUCUACUGGAAAAAUAAAAUUAUGCAUAUGGUCAACUAUUUGGCCCAAUUGACAAAUAAAUUUUAAUCACAGAAUGAUCAUUCCUUCAAAACAGGUUCUUCACCAGCACCCCCGCUUUUCAGGAAUUCUUCCCCAAGUUCAAGGGGAUGACUUCGGCUGAUCAGCUCAAGAAAUCCGCGGACGUGCGCUGGCACGCCGAGAGGAUCAUCAACGCCGUCAACGAUGCCAUGACGUCCAUGGAUGACACCGAGAAGAUGAGCAUGAAGCUAAGGGAUCGAGUGGCAAGCAUGCCAUAAGCUUCCAGGUGGACCCCCAGUACUCCAAGGUCCUGGCCGCGGUCAUUGCUGACACCGUUGCCGCAGGCGAUGCCGGCUUCGAGAAGCUCAUGAGCAUGAUUUGCAUUCUGCUCAGGUCUGCCUACUAAACCAA